UUACGGUCGUAUCACGCUGAAUCACCAGUUCUCGUCCGAUCAGUAAAUUUAAGCAACAUUGAGUCUGGUCAGUACCUAGAUGGGGUGACCGCUUUGGAAUACCAGGUGUUAU